UACGUAGGAGGCAAGCGUUGUCCGGAGUUACUGGGCGUAAAGCGCCCGCAGGCGGUUCUGCGCGUUGCCUAUGCCAGCUCGCUGCUUAACGGCGGGAGUGUGGGCAAGACGGCAGGACUCGAGGGCCGGAGAGGGACCUGGAAUUCCGGGUGGAGUGGUGAAAUGCGUAGAGAUCCGGAGGAACACCAAGGGUGAAGACAGGGUCCUGGACGGCACCUGACGCUGAGGGGCGAAAGCCAGGGGAG
rnacentral:rRNA from 1 species